AUCUAACUGACGAGUCUCAAAUAGGACGAAAAGCGCGUAUUGGAU
rnacentral:hammerhead_ribozyme from 1 species